rnacentral:sRNA from 1 species
CAACGUGAGGUUGAUCUGGCUGCAACAUCUGUCACCCCAUUGAUCGCAGGGUUGAUUCGGCUGAUCUAGCUGGCUAGGCGGGUGUCCCCUUCCUCCCUCACCACUCCAUGUGCAUCCCUCCAGAGAGGAUGGCCUUACCCCAAAUAGAGACGGACCAGUCUUCAGUCGAGGUAUACGAGUAGCUGUGCUCCCCUGCUAGAACCUCCAAUCNNNNNNN